rnacentral:rRNA from 1 species
GAUGAACGCUAGCGGCAGGCCUAACACAUGCAAGUCGAGGGAGAAGCCCUUUCGGGGGCAGAAACCGGCGCACGGGUGCGUAACGCGUAUGCAACCUACCUUUCACAGGGGGAUAGCCCGAAGAAAUUUGGAUUAAUACCCCAUAAUAUUAUUGGAUGGCAUCAUUUGAUAAUUAAAACUGCGGUGGUGAAAGAUGGGCAUGCGUCCUAUUAGCUAGUUGGAGUGGUAACGGCACCCCAAGGCUACGAUAGGUAGGGGUCCUGAGAGGGAGAUCCCCCACACUGGUACUGAGACAGGGACCAGACUCCUACGGGAGGCAGCAGUGAGGAAUAUUGGUCAAUGGUCGGAAGACUGAACCAGCCAUGCCGCGUGCAGGAAGAAUGCCUUAUGGGUUGUAAACUGCUUUUAUAUGGGAAGAAUAAGGCGUACGUGUACGUUGAUGACGGUACCAUAUGAAUAAGCAUCGGCUAACUCUGUG